rnacentral:rRNA from 1 species
UACGUAGGGUGCGAGCGUUGUCCGGAAUUAUUGGGCGUAAAGCGCGUGUAGGCGGUUUUUUAAGUCUGAUGUGAAAGCCCCGGGCUCAACCUGGGAAGUGCAUUGGAAACUGGAAGACUUGAGUACGGGAGAGGGUAGUGGAAUUCCCAGUGUAGGAGUGAAAUCCGUAGAUAUUGGGAGGAACACCGGUGGCGAAGGCGGCUACCUGGACCGAUACUGACGCUGAGACGCGAAAGCGUGGGGAGCAAACAGG